CAAGGGCGCGAGCACGCCAGCGCGAGCACGCCAGCGCGAGCACGCCAGCGCGAGCACGCCAGCGCGAGCACGCCAGCGCGAGCACGCCAGCGCGAGCACGCCAGCGCGAGCACGCCAGCGCGAGCACGCCAGCGCGAGCACGCCAGCGCGAGCACGCCAGCGCGAGCACGCCAGCGCGAGCAUGGAGGACGCUGGAGCGAGCACGCCAGCGCGAGUAUGGAGGACGCCUCUUAACGUUUGCUGAAUAUGGCGGCGUCCAGAGUCCGUUAUAGAGAAAGAGUUUGUUUAUAUAAUGGAUUACCUUGGUGGAUUUUCAUAUAUUGAACCAUCCCUGCAUUCCUGGAAUGAAGCCUACUUGAUCAUGGUGGAUGAAGUUUUUGAUGUGUUCCUAGACUUGGUUUGGCUUCUGGGACGUCCUGUCAGUAAUCCUCUCUUCUCCAAUCUCAGUGGGACCUCCAGUUGGCGGCGCCUGCACCGACACAAUACCAAGAAUCGGGCGAAAGCCUGCAGGAUUAAAGAAACACACAUACAGGUUAUUCGUGUCAAGCCAGGAGAGGAAGAGGGAGCGACUCCUGUAGCUUUAUUCACCACUUAUACACCCAAGUCUCCAGGUAGAAAAUAACUGGGAAGCACAGUGGGAAACCCUGGCUCGUGACUACCUGGCUCGUGACUUCGGUAACAAAAGACCAACUAUGAGACCUGAAUUAAUUAGGGAGAAAUCCCAGAAGACCAGUCUAAAUCUCAAGGACAAAGGCUGAGGAAGCAAAAGGCAGAAGUAA
ensembl:lncRNA